rnacentral:rRNA from 1 species
AUUGAACGCUGGCGGCAGGCCUAACACAUGCAAGUCGAACGGUAACAGGAAGAAGCUUGCUUCUUUGCUGACGAGUGUCGGACGGGUGAGUAAUGUCUGGGAAACUGCCUGUUGGAGGGGGAUAACUCCUGGAAACGGUAGCUAAUACCGCAUAACGUCGCUAGACCAAAGAGGGGGACCUUCGGGCCUCUUGCCAUCUGAUGUGCCCAGAUGGGAUUAGCUAGUAGGUGGGGUAACGGCUCACCUAGGCGACGAUCCCUAGCUGGUCUGAGAGGAUGACCAGCCACACUGGAACUGAGACACGGUCCAGACUCCUACGGGAGGCAGCAGUGGGGAAUAUUGCACAAUGGGCGCAAGCCUGAUGCAGCCAUGCCGCGUGUAUGAAGAAGGCCUUCGGGUUGUAAAGUACUUUCGGCGGGGAGGAAGAGAGUAAGGUUAAUACCUUGGCUCAUUGACGUUACCCGCAGAAGAAGCACCGGCUAACUCCGUG